rnacentral:rRNA from 1 species
GAGUUUGAUCCUGGCUCAGAAUCAAACGCUGGCGGCGUGCCUCAGACAUGCAAGUCGAACGCGAAAGCCUCCUUCGGGGGGCAAGUAGAGUGGCGCACGGGUGAGUAACACGUAGGUAAUCUACCUUUGGAUUGGGAAUAACCACCGGAAACGGCGGCUAAUACCGAAUAAUGCAGCGGCACCUAAUGGUGACAGUUGUUAAAGCGGGGGAUCGCAAGACCUCGCGUCUGAAGAGGAGCCUGCGGCAGAUUAGCUAGUUGGUAAGGUAACGGCUUACCAAGGCGAUGAUCUGUAGCCGGCCUGAGAGGGCGGUCGGCCACACUGACACUGACAUACGGGUCAGACUCCUACGGGAGGCAGCAGUCGGGAAUUUUGGGCAAUGGGCGAAAGCCUGACCCAGCAACGCCGCGUGAAGGAUGAAAUCCCUCGGGAUGUAAACUUCGCAAGAACGGGAAGAAUAAGUAAGGGUUAAUAUCUCUUACGAUGACGGUACUGUUUGUAAGCUCCGGCUAACUCCGUGCCAGCAGCCGCGGUAAUACGGGGGGAGCAAGCGUUGUUCGGAUUUACUGGGCGUAAAGGGCGCGUAGGCGGCCACCGCAAGUCGACUGUGAAAUCUCCGGGCUUAACCCGGAAAGGUCAGCCGAUACUGCGGGGCUAGAGUGCAGAAGGGGCAACUGGAAUUCUCGGUGUAGCGGUGAAAUGCGUAGAUAUCGAGAGGAACACCUGCGGCGAAGGCGGGUUGCUGGGCUGACACUGACGCUGAGGCGCGAAAGCUAGGGGAGCGAACGGGAUUAGAUACCCCGGUAGUCCUAGCCUUAAACGAUGAAUGCUUGGUGUCUGGGGUUUUAUAGUCCCCGGGUGCCGUCGCUAACGCUUUAAGCAUUCCGCCUGGGGAGUACGGUCGCAAGACUGAAACUCAAAGGAAUUGACGGGGACCCGCACAAGCGGUGGAGCAUGUGGUUUAAUUCGACGCAACGCGAAGAACCUUACCUGGGCUAGAAUGCCUCUGACCGGCGUAGAGAUACGCCUUCCUGGGUAAAACCAGGCAGAGUGCAAGGUGCUGCAUGGCUG